GAGAGUUAAACAGUACGUGAAAUUGUUGAAAGGGAAACGAUUGAAGUCAGUCGUGCUGGCGCGAAAUCAACCCUCUCAUCGGGAGAUCACAUGUUGUGGCGAGCCUCAAAACCGCCACAGCGUGUGACCUCACGAUGAGGGGGAGCACUUUCGUGUCCGCUGGUUAACAUCAAUUUCGAACGUCAUAAAAAGGCUGGAGGGAUGUGGCUCCUUCGGGAGUGUUAUAACCUUUAGCGGAAUGUGGUGGUCGGGAUUGAGGAUUGCAACGGAUACCCUUCAGGGCUAUUCGUCUGAUCUCUGAUACGUUGCCCUGAUGUUGAAAGCUUGCUUAUGAUGUUAGGGUAUUACGGUCAAAAGGUUAGAACGAAUUACAUUCGUUAAGGAUGUUGACGUAAUGACUUUAAACGA
rnacentral:rRNA from 1 species